rnacentral:rRNA from 1 species
UUAAGUGACUAAGCGUACAGGGCGGAUGCCUUGGCAAUCAGAGGCGAAGAAGGACGUGCUAAUCUGCGAAAAGCUUGGAUGAGUCGAUAAGAGGCGUUUAAUCCAAGAUGUCCGAAUGGGGAAACCCGAUGGAUGAAGAAUCCAUCAUUUCAUUGUGAAUACAUAGCAAUGAAAGGCGAACCGGGAGAACUGAAACAUCUAAGUACCCCGAGGAAAAGAAAUCAACCGAGAUUCUGUGAGUAGCGGCGAGCGAAAGCGGAAGAGCCAGUAAGUUUUAGCUAGUGUAUUAGAGGAAUUGGCUGGGAAGCCAAAUCAAAGAGGGUGAUAAUCCCGUACUCGAAAAUACGAUAGUGGAACUAAGCUUACGAUAAGUAGGGCGGGACACGAGAAAUCCUGUUUGAAGAUGGGGGGACCAUCCUCCAAGGCUAAAUACUCCUGAUUGACCGAUAGUGAACCAGUACUGUGAAGGAAAGGCGAAAAGAACCCCGGUGAGGGGAGUGAAAUAGAACCUGAAACCCUGUACGUACAAGCAGUAGGAGCCUGAAAGGGUGACUGCGUACCUUUUGUAUAAUGGGUCAGCGACUUAUAUUUUGUAGCGAGGUUAACUGAAUAAGGGAGCCGAAGGGAAACCGAGUCUUAACUGGGCGUUGAGUUGCAAGGUAUAGACCCGAAACCCGGUGAUCUAGCCAUGGGCAGGUUGAAGGUUGGGUAACACUAACUGGAGGACCGAACCGACUAAUGUUGAAAAAUUAGCGGAUGACUUGUGGCUGGGGGUGAAAGGCCAAUCAAACCGGGAGAUAGCUGGUUCUCCCCGAAAUCUAUUUAGGUAGAGCCUUGAGCGGACACCUUCGGGGGUAGAGCACUGUUUCGGCUAGGGGUCCAUCCCGGAUUACCAACCCGAUGCAAACUGCGAAUACCGAAGAGUGAUACUCAGGAGACACACGGCGGGUGCUAACGUUCGUCGUGGAGAGGGAAACAACCCAGACCGCCAGCUAAGGUCCCAAAGUCUAUAUUAAGUGGGAAACGAAGUGGGAAGGCUUAGACAGCUAGGAUGUUGGCUUAGAAGCAGCCAUCAUUUAAAGAAAGCGUAAUAGCUCACUAGUCGAGUCGGCCUGCGCGGAAGAUGUAACGGGGCUCAAAUAUAGCACCGAAGCUGCGGCAUCAGAAUUUAUUCUGUUGGGUAGGGGAGCGUUGUGUAAGCGGAAGAAGGUGGCUCGAGAGGGUUGCUGGACGUAUCACAAGUGCGAAUGCUGACAUAAGUAACGAUAAAACGAGUGAAAAACUCGUUCGCCGGAAGACCAAGGGUUCCUGUCCAACGUUAAUCGGGGCAGGGUGAGUCGGCCCCUAAGGCGAGGCUGAAAAGCGUAGUCGAUGGGAAACGGGUUAAUAUUCCCGUACUUGGUAAAGCUGCGAUGUGGGGACGGAGAAGGUUAGGUAAGCGGACUGUUGGAAAUGUCCGUUUAAGUUGGUAGUUGGGAGCGGUAGGCAAAUCCGCUGCUCCAUUCAACAACGAGAGAUGAUGACGAGGCUCUACGGAGCUGAAGUUACCGAUACCCGGCUUCCAGGAAAAGCCACUAAGCGAAAGGCUUUAUUAAACCGUACUGAAAACCGACACAGGUGGUCAGGUAGAGAAUACUCAGGCGCUUGAGAGAACUCGGGUGAAGGAACUAGGCAAAAUAGCACCGUAACUUCGGGAGAAGGUGCGCUUACAGUAAUUGUAGUCCCUUGCGGAUGAAGGUGAAGUAAGUCGAAGAUACCAGCUGGCUGCAACUGUUUAUUAAAAACACAGCACUCUGCAAACACGAAAGUGGACGUAUAGGGUGUGAUGCCUGCCCGGUGCUGGAAGGUUAAUUGAUGGUGUUAUCGAAAGAGAAGCUCCUGAUCGAAGCCCCAGUAAACGGCGGCCGUAACUAUAACGGUCCUAAGGUAGCGAAAUUCCUUGUCGGGUAAGUUCCGACCUGCACGAAUGGCAUAAUGAUGGCCAGGCUGUCUCCACCCGAGACUCAGUGAAAUUGAAAUCGCCGUGAAGAUGCGGUGUACCCGCGGCUAGACGGAAAGACCCCGUGAACCUUUACUAUAGCUUGACACUGAACAUUGAAUUUUGAUGUGUAGGAUAGGUGGGAGCCUUUGAAGCAGUGACGCCAGUCAUUGUGGAGGCGACCUUGAAAUACCACCCUUUAACGUUUGAUGUUCUAACGAAGUGCCUGAAACGGGUACUCGGACAGUGUCUGGUGGGUAGUUUGACUGGGGCGGUCUCCUCCCAAAGCGUAACGGAGGAGCACGAAGGUUUGCUAAUGACGGUCGGACAUCGUCAGGUUAGUGCAAUGGUAUAAGCAAGCUUAACUGCGAGACGGACAAGUCGAGCAGGUGCGAAAGCAGGUCAUAGUGAUCCGGUGGUUCUGAAUGGAAGGGCCAUCGCUCAACGGAUAAAAGGUACUCCGGGGAUAACAGGCUGAUACCGCCCAAGAGUUCAUAUCGACGGCGGUGUUUGGCACCUCGAUGUCGGCUCAUCACAUCCUGGGGCUGAAGUAGGUCCCAAGGGUAUGGCUGUUCGCCAUUUAAAGUGGUACGCGAGCUGGGUUUAGAACGUCGUGAGACAGUUCGGUCCCUAUCUGCCGUGGGCGUUGGAUGAUUGAUUGGGGCUGCUCCUAGUACGAGAGGACCGGAGUGGACGCAUCACUGGUGUUCCAGUUGUCUCGCCAGAGGCAUUGCUGGGUAGCUAAAUGCGGAAGAGAUAAGUGCUGAAAGCAUCUAAGCACGAAACUUGCCAAGAGAUGAGUCAUCCCUGACUUUAAGUCAGUAAGGGUUGUUUAAGACUAAGACGUAGAUAGGUUGGGUGUGUAAGUGUAGUGAUACAUUGAGCUAACCAAUACUAAUUGCCCGAGAGGCUUAACCAU